rnacentral:rRNA from 1 species
AUACGGGAGGCAGCAGUGGGGAAUUUUGCGCAAUGGGCGAAAGCCUGACGCAGCAACGCCGCGUGCGGGAUGAAGGCUCUCGGGUCGUAAACCGCUUUCAGCAGGGACGAAACAAGACUGUACCUGCAGAAGAAGCCCCGGCUAAAUACGUGCCAGCAGCCGCGGUAAUACGUAUGGGGCAAGCGUUAUCCGGAUUCAUUGGGCGUAAAGAGCGCGUAGGCGGCUUGGUAAGUCAGAUGUGAAAACCGGGGGCUCAACCCGCGGCCUGCAUCUGAAACUGCCAGGCUUGAGUCUGGUAGAGGAAAGUGGAAUUCCCAGUGUAGCGGUGAAAUGCGCAGAUAUUGGGAGGAACACCAGUGGCGAAGGCGGCUUUCUGGGCCACGACUGACGCUGAGGCGCGAAAGCUAGGGGAGCAAACAGGAUUAGAUACCCGUGUAGUCCG